GGCUAGAGUUUGAUCAUGGCUCAGGACGAACGCUGGCGGCGCGCCUAACACAUGCAAGUCGAACGGAGUUGAGAGGAGCUUGCUUUUCUUGACUUAGUGGCGAACGGGUGAGUAACGCGUGAGGAACCUGCCUCAAAGAGGGGGACAACAGUUGGAAACGACUGCUAAUACCGCAUAAGCCCACGGUCUCGCAUGGGACAGAGGGAAAAGGAGCAAUCCGCUUUGAGAUGGCCUCGCGUCCGAUUAGCUAGUUGGUGAGGUAACGGCCCACCAAGGCGACGAUCGGUAGCCGGACUGAGAGGUUGAACGGCCACAUUGGGACUGAGACACGGCCCAGACUCCUACGGGAGGCAGCAGUGGGGAAUAUUGCACAAUGGGGGAAACCCUGAUGCAGCGACGCCGCGUGGAGGAAGAAGGUCUUCGGAUUGUAAACUCCUGUUGUUGGGGAAAAAGAGGAUGGUACCCAACAAGGAAGUGACGGCUAACUACGUGCCAGCAGCCGCGGUAAAACGUAGGUCACGAGCGUUGUCCGGAAUUACUGGGUGUAAAGGGAGCGCAGGCGGGUAUGCAAGUUGGGAGUGAAAUACAUGGGCUCAACCCAUGAACUGCUCUCAAAACUGUGUAUCUUGAGUAGUGCAGAGGUAGGCG
rnacentral:rRNA from 1 species